rnacentral:lncRNA from 10 species
AGCCAACAUUGUGACACAGGCGCAGCUCUCCAGUUUCCUGAGCAAAAGAAGCCAGAGAGGCACCCUCCCUUCCACCCACCCCUGGAGAGCUGCUCUAUCUUGUUUUCCUUUCUCUCAGCCUUCAGCUUGUCCCAGAAACUGCCCUUUGUGCAGGGCUCAGGCCUUCAGUCUGAGAAACCACCCUCCUUCCAUCAGCCCCCAGGCACCGAUGCAGAUGCCUCCCCCCGGAAGCGUUGGGGGUUUGCCAGGCCAGACUGAGCUUGUCCUUAGUCUCCAAGCACUUAGGGUCUAGAACUAUGCUCUGACUCUUCUUUUAAUUUAUUCACUAUUGAGUAAAUCUUGUGUCCCACUCUGGGAUUGCUGUGAUAAUAAUAAUUAAUAUUAGUAUUAAUAAUAAUGAGGAAGCUCAGCCCCUACCCUGUGCCCCUUGGAGGCUCAUAUCUUUCUGACCAGAUUACUCAAAGGAGCCCUUUUAUGAGACGUGAAGCUGGGAAGGAGACAGACAGUGUUUUUUAGCAUAACAAAGCAGGGGAGACACCCUCUUAAGAGUUUAUGCCAUAAUACAAAAUUAAUACAAAUUGUACAAAAUGUCUGAUUCUCUUUUUUUUUUUUUUUUUUUUUUGAGACAGAGUCUCGCUCUGUCACCCAGGCUGGAGUGCAGAUCACAGCUCACUGCAAACUCCGCCUCCCAGGCUCAAGUGAUGCUCCCACCUCAACCUCCCAAGCAGCUGGGACUACAGGCGUGGGCUACCAUGCUGGCUAAUUUUUGUAUUUUUUGUAGAGACGGGGUUUCGCCAUGUUGCCCAGGCUGGUCUCAAACUCCUGGACUCAAGCGAUCUGCCCACCUCGGCCUCCCACCAUGCUGGCCUGAUUGUCUUUUCCACACUGCACCUUGAGGCUGGAUCUCCAGGAACAACUGCCAUGAUGAGCACUGUUUCCUCAUCUUUAAAUGAGGAACCCCAAUUUCAGAAAGGUGGAGGAACUUGGCCAGGCUCACAGAAUAGGGUAGCAUGGCUGGGACUAUGAACCCAGGACUGCCUGGCUCUAAACCCAAUUCACUUUCUUCUGGAAAAAGUCGUCAGCCUAAGGACGGAAGAGCAGGAAAAUAGACAGAUCCAGCCCUUGAACUGACCAACUCUUGAUCCACCCCAUCUGUGAAUUUCUACUGAGAAGAAUAUAUUUUCCCUAUGAUUUAAGCUGCAUCAAAUUGAAAUAGCAGGAGAAGAGUUUUGGGGGAUGACAGGAUUCUUCUAUAUCCUGAUUGUGGUCCUGGUUACAACACAUAGCUAUACAUGUAUCAAAAUUCCUAGAACUAAAAGGAACUCUAGGAAGCAAAUAUGGCAGAAUGUUAAGGUUUUAUAAACCUAUGUGGUCUAUUCUUUUCUUAGGUUUGAAAUAUUUUAUAAUAAUUUUAGGGAAAAGAAAAAAACAAAAAGCAGGAGGAGGAGGAAGAGGAAAAGGAUAUUUGGGGAAAGUCUGUUUAGAUGGGAUGGCUGGAGCUGCUGCGGCCAUCUUGCAACCAUGAAAGAAGCCAGUGUAAGAGCAAAUCUGAGACACGGGGAUGGGAGAGCAGAGAGAUGGAAAGAUGAUCCUGCAGAUGUCGGUCAGUUGCUGAAUCAAUCAGAAUCUCAAACCUGUCCUCCUCCCUCUGGACUUCCUCUCUGCCAUAAUAAAUUUGUUUAUCGUUGAAGCAAUGUGAGUUGAUGGUUUCUGAUACUUGGGUUGAAGACACUGUUACUGAUACAGGAUACGGGGUCAGAUCUGAAGC